AAGGACCUCACCUGCAAGACAUGACUCCCAUGUGGCUCUUCCUCUUCCUACUGUCAGCUCCCAGAUGUGUCCUGUCCCAGGUGCAGCUGCAGGAGUUGGGCCCAGGCCUGGUGAAGCCCUCGCAGACCCUCUCCCUCACCUGCACUGUGUCCGGGGGCUCAGUCACCACCAGUGACUACUGGAGCUGGAUCCGCCAGUCCCCAGGGGAAAGGUUGCAGUGGAUGGGGCACUGGAGAGGGGGUACAAUCUACAACCCAGCCUUCCAGGGCCGCAUCUCUAUCACUGCUGACACAGCCAGGAACCAGUUCUCCCUGCAGCUGAGUUCCUUGACCACCGAGGACACGGCCAUGUAUUACUGUGCGAGAGACACAGUGUGGGGAACUCUCAUCUGCUGCCUGUGA